UGAUGUUUUGACUUCUCCAUUUUUCUUUCUACUUCUAUCUUAUAGUCAGCACAAGCAAUGUCCAGGCGUUGUGAAGUUUUGAGGGAGUCCAUAUCUUCUUAUCAUCAAGUACUACUCCGGUCUCUUAUGAAAGAAGUUUCUGGUCAUAUAUGGGAGGAAAAAGAAACCAUCUUGGAUGCACUUGGUGCUAUUUCAACUACUUGCCUCAAAUUAGUUUCUACUGCAGAUCCUGCCAUGCCCAAUGCCAUUGUAAACCUGGUAUCUUCCUCCUGCUCCAAGAAAGCAAAGAAAUUCUGAGAAGCUGCUUUUUCUUUUCUUGAGAAGAUUGAUACGGGAAACUCAUGCUCACAACUUGAAAUGGAUGAAGUACGAGUGGAGUGGGCUAAAUUUUUAGCUCGGAACAUAUGAUAGACACCUAGCUAGAUAUGAUCUUAAUUGUGUAAAUGGCUAACACAUGAGAACGACCAUAACUUUUUUUGUGUAAAUGUUUUUUUCAUAGCCAUUAUACUUAGUUUUGGUAUACAACAUAUGUUUUUGGUUAUAUAAGAUAGCUAUUAUUAUUGUUGAUUUUGGAAUAGGCCACAUAUAGAAAAUUUUAGUUGGUUAUAUUUGGAUUGGAAUUCUGUAAUUGUUGAUGACAUUGUUGAGAAGA